rnacentral:rRNA from 1 species
AUGAACGCUGGCGGCGUGCUUAACACAUGCAAGUCGAACGAUUAAAGCUCACUUCGGUGAGUGUAUAGAGAGGCGAACGGGUGAGUAACACGUGGGAAACCUGCCCCUUUCUUCGGGAUAACUUCGGGAAACCGUUGCUAAUACCGGAUACUCCGGGAUGGUCGCAUGGCCGACCCGGGAAAGCUUUAUGUGGAAAGGGAUGGUCCCGCGGCCCAUUAGCUUGUUGGUGGGGUAAUGGCCUACCAAGGCGAUGAUGGGUAGCCG